rnacentral:rRNA from 1 species
AUGUGGGAAACCACGAUGCGGGAAACCCAAGUGCCAGCGCUAUGCGUUGGCUGUCCUCGACUGUUUGUAGGUCGGGAAGAAAGUGCUGGGUAAGACGGGUGCCAGCCGCCGCGGUAAUACCCGCAGCACAAGUGGUGGUCAUUAUUAUUGGGCCUAAAGCGUCCGUAGCUGGCUUGUUAGAUGCCUGGGUAAAUCGAUGCGCUCAACGUAUCGAACUCCGGGUAGACCGGCAAGCUUGGGACCGGGAGAGAUGUGAGCUACUCGAGGGGUAGGGGUAAAAUCCUGUAAUCCUUCGGGGAGGACCAGUGGCGAAGGCGUCACAUUAGAACGGCUCCGACAGUGAGGGACGAAGCCCUGGGGCGCAAACCGGAUUAGAUACCCGUGUAGUCC